CAAGCCUGAAUUUCAAUGAGAUGGGAACACUUUUUAGUAUAAAUGCAAGAUUUUCAUGUCUCCCUUUUAGGAAAUACAGAGAUUAUGGCGUUCAUCUGUUUCAUCCAGGACUCGAAAAGCAAAACCCUGAACCUCAGACUCUUCCAGCAUGUUUGAUUCAGCCAAACAAGGGAAGAUGCUGCGGGUGCUUUGUAUGCUAUGGAAGUGCUACGAUGCCAUCGUCUGUCCAGGAAAAGAAAGGAACACCCACCCAUGUGGUAAAGCUAUCAGAAACUGGAGCAUUGGGAAUAAAGGAAUUAUUUCCAUGAGACAAGCCGCCCGCCAUUGGCUCAUAAUAAGCUGGAAGACCAAUGACUGCUUCUCAGAGACUCCCAAAGGCCCAAUGUCCUGGCUGCAGAUUUGCGGCUGAGUCAGCACGGUGCACAGCAGAAAGGUGGGGGAGGGUGGCCAGUGCCGCCCUGCCAGGCUCUGUCUGUAUUACCUGGAGCAGCACGGACCCUUCAGUCUCCAUUCUCUCUUCAGGAAAGAGGCCUCCUCAUAGAUGGACACAUCAAGGCUCAGAGUUGUCGGUGUGAUGAUUCCCUGCAUACUUCAGGAUGCAUCCUCCGUCAUCAGGCUGGGCUGCAAGAUAGAAUAUAACAUGCAUAUGGCAGACGUCAAAAGG